rnacentral:rRNA from 1 species
AGUGAACGCUGGCGGUGUGCUUAACACAUGCAAGUCGAACGAGAACGGACUAAAGUUUAACUUUAGUUGUCAGCUAAGUAGGCGCACGGGUGGAGUAAUCUAUAGCUAACCUACCCUAAACGAGGGGGAGUAAUUAAUGGAACGUUUAGUUAAUACCCUACUACCUCUUAUCUACACAAGUAUAUAAGAGAAAACUUUAAGUUGCUUUAGGUAUGGGGCGUGUAUUGUAUCAGCUAGUUGGUGGUGUAAUGGACCACCAAGGCUAUGACGCAUAACUGGUUUGUAGAGGAUGAUCAGUCACACUGGAACUGAGACACGGUCCAGACUCCUACGGGGAGGCAGCAGUGGGGAAGUAAUUGCACAAUGGGGGAAACCCGUGAUGCAGCAACACCGCGUGGAGGAAGACACUUUUCGGAGCGUAAACUCCUUUUAUAUCCCAAGAUAAUGACGGUAGGAUAUGAAUAAGCACCGGCUAACUCCGUGCCAGCAGCCGCGGUAAU